rnacentral:rRNA from 1 species
ACAUGCCUACAACAUAGUGUUAAUGCACUGGAUCCCAUUAGAACUCUGCAAUUAAGUGUGAUUAGGGUAGAGUAGUACUGGGAUGGGUGACUGCCCGGGAAGUCCUAGUGUUUUACAUGCC